rnacentral:piRNA from 1 species
UAUGGUCUCUAUGUGUGCCUC